GAUGAGAACGUAGCGAAAUGCGAUACGUAAUGUGAAUUGCAGAUUUCAGUGAAUCAUCGAAUCUUUGAACGCACAUUGCGCCCGCCAGUAUUCUGGCGGGCAUGCCUGUUCGAGCGUCAUUUCAACCAUCAAGCGCCUCGCUUGUGUUGGGGCCCUGCGGCUGCCGCAGGCCCCUAAAUCCAGUGGCGGGCUCGUCGUCGUACCGAGUGCAGUAAACAUCCUCGCUCAGGGAACCCGACGGGUGCCGGCCGUGAAACCCCCCCUCCUCAAGGUUGACCUCGGAUCAGGUAGGAAUACCCGCUGAACUUAAGCAUAUCAAUAAGCGGAGGA
rnacentral:misc_RNA from 1 species